ACUCAAAGGAAUAGACGGGGGCCCGCACAAGCGGUGGAGCAUGUGGUUCAAUUCGAUGCAACGCGAAAAACCUUACCGGGGUUUGAACUGUACAGGAAAAACUUAGAGAUAAGUUCCUCUAGCAAUAGAUCUGUAUAGAGGUGCUGCAUGGCUGUCGUCAGCUCGUGUCGUGAGAUGUUGGGUUAAGUCCCGCAACGAGCGCAACCCUUGCUUUUAGUUGCUCAUUCUUUACUGAAUAGCACUCUAAAGAGGACUGCUGGUGAUAAACCGGAGGAAGGUGGGGAUGACGUCAAGUCAUCAUGGCCUUUAUGCCCCGGGCUACACACGUGCUACAAUGGACGGUACAAAGGGUCGCAAGCCCGCAAGGGGAAGCCAAUCCCACAAAGCCGUCCUCAGUUCGGAUUGUAGUCUGCAACUCGACUACAUGAAGUUGGAAUCGCUAGUAAUCGCGGAUCAGCACGCCGCGGUGAAUACGUUUCCGGGCCUUGCACACACCGCCCGU
rnacentral:rRNA from 1 species